CUGAGAACUCUUAGAACUGAUAGAGAUGAAUGAAGAUGCUGGUUUAAUUAUGAGGUUUUAUGUUUAUUAUUAUUAACACAAAAUGAGCUGUAGUACAUAAAUGGAGAGAGAAAAACUUACUUACUGCCAGAAUAUGUCAAGCCAUUUCAUUUGUGCCUACAGAGGUGGGCAAACAGCAUUAUAAAAAAAGUUCUUCUCCUUACAGCUCAACAACAAAAUGGCUUAGUAGAGGUUCUGAGCCUCUUCUGAGCUGACAUCUUCACAAAGACAGGCUGAUGCAGUCCAGUUUAUGUUCUGGAUCACAGUGUUUGACUGUUAAUUAAAGUGACAAGAAUUGUUAUGAAUAGUCAUGAACUACUUCAAAAACAAAUGGUAAAAGAAUACUGAGGGAAAUACUAGAGACCUAUUUCCUGAGUUUUCAGACAUAAAUAGCCAUUUUGUGUCUAAGCACUUCAAUGGAAUAGCACUGAUCAGGAAUUUUCAAUAUGUUUUGAAAAUUAUGACUUUUAAACCAGUUCAGAAUAGAUACGAUGAAUAUUCACAGUUUCACAAAACCAAGGUACAAAUAUGCAGAAAAAAUGAAUUAAUUUGUAGAGACAAAAUAAAUAUCUCAAAUGAUUAUUAAACAGUUUUUUUUUUUUUCUCUCUCUCUCUCUCUUUCCAUGUGUUAUAGAGGUUUUCCUGUUUUCCUGUUGUUUUACUUUUCUUUGUUGUGCAUCUCAGAGUCAUCAGUGUGAAGCAGUCUAGGCAUGACUGGUUGUUAAGAUGUCCUGACAUUAAAAAAUAUCUAAAAUUAUCCUGCUGUUAUUCUUGUGCAUGCUUCAAGCUAGUCACAACAGCCUGAGUAACAGAGUUUGAUCUAUUCAAGUCGUGAAAGAAUGGUCCCUGCACACAGACAGAAUUAGGAAGUAUUUAGUUUGAAUUUAGAAACACUUGAGGCACAUUAGCAACAUUCUGUACUGCUAAGUGGAAGUGUUGUAUGCCAACUGGCAUUGCAGGAGUCAUGUUCAAAAGUAGUAUGCAGUGCUAACCGCUGCAAGUUUAGACUAACUUUUUGAAGUCUUUAACUUUUCUACCUCAUAGAACACAGAAUGGUUUGGGUUGAAAGGGACCUUUAAGAUCACCUAGUUCCAACUCCCCUGGUACAGGCAGGGAUACCUCCCUCUAUGCAAGGUUGCUCAAAGCCCCAUCCAGCCUGGCCUUGAAUGAUUCCAAGGAGCAGACAUUCACAACCUCGCUGGGCAACCUGUUCCAGUGUCUCACCACGCUGACAGUGAAGAAUUUCUUCCUAAAAUCUAGUCUAAAUCUGCACUUUUUCAGUCUAAAGCCAUUUAGCCUUGUCCUGGAAGGCCUUUGUAAGGUUCCCCCAGAGUCGUCUCUUUUCUAGGCUGAAGAACCCCAACUCUCUCAGCCAGCCUUCUGGUCAUCUGGUGGAGGUGUCUUUGCUUAGGGCAAGGGGGUUGGGACUAGGUUAUUCUUAAGGUCCCCUCCAAUUCAAUCCCUUCAGAGAUUCUGUGAAAUUACAAUUGAUUGGUGCAAAUAAAUUGUUUAAUCAAUUCUUCCUACACAUUAAAAAUUCUGAAGAAACCUCCAUUUGAGUAUUAGUUCCCCAGAAGUCCUUCUGUUGCCUCCAUUUUGCUCAUAUCAUGCAUUUUGAUUGCAAUGCAAAGUGGCUGCUGAAGCAUCAGGGAAAACUAGGUCUACUGAGCUGAAGUUUAUUUAUUUGCAGACAUUCAGGCUUGAAAACAGAGCUCACCACAUUAAAAAAGACUGAAAACUGCUAAAUUGCAGUUGGCACCCAAAAUAGCUUAUUUUAAGUUGGUUAUUUCUAAACUUCACCACUGCCAAUAUUGUGAUUUUAUAUAUAGUAAGCUGUGUAACUAUUGUGGACAGUAUUAGCAGCUUAAUUUGUUGUGUAAGCAGAGAAAAUUAUGUGCCUAUCCCAAGAAUUUCCUUGCUGAUUCAUAAAAAUGCUGGGGUUUUACAGACAUUACUGGUAUCAAAUUCAUUAAUAAAUCAAAAUGACUGAUCAAAUAUGUAUUUCUCAUUUAUGAAGAUUGCUUUGAAAUGCUACAUUAUUUGGUUUUAGUAGGAUUGGUUCUGCCCUCAAGAAGUGAAAAAGAACUAAGGACCUGUUACAGCAGCGUAAAUCACUAAUUUAUGAUGUUCUAAAACAUGUCAGUGCAUAGAAGAUAAUCCUUGAAGGCGUGCAAGAGUUCCACCAUCAUAUGACAUGUUAUUUAGUUAUUUGACUGAUGAGGUAAACACUGAGUUGUAAUCUACAGGAGAAGUUUUGUUUUUGGGCCUGCUGAAACAGUGCCUGAGAGAACAUCGUUCAACAGUGAUGGUUUUCUGGCUCAAAGUAGCAUUUCUUUGUUUGAUUGACUCAUUUUUUCUCCAUUCUCGGUGCUUCAUUAUUGUUUCAAUGUCUGUUUUGCACUGGUUUUUAUCUUAGUUGUCUAAAAUCAUAAAAAAAAUAUAAGUUAUAAAGUAUUGAAGUUAUAAAGUAUUGAAAGUUUCAAUUUGGCUUUUGUAUUUUUCUUAGUUCACUGUCAGUGGUGCAAUUACUUGUAAUUCUUUUUCUAAAAUUAAACAAUUAAUUUAAAAAGU
rnacentral:lncRNA from 1 species